GUGGUUUAAUUCGAUGCAACGCGAAGAACCUUACCAGGUCUUGACAUCCCACGAAUUCAUCUGAAAGGAUGGAGUGCCUUCGGGAGCGUGGAGACAGGUGGUGCAUGGUUGUCGUCAGCUCGUGUCGUGAGAUGUUGGGUUAAGUCCCGCAACGAGCGCAACCCUUGCUAUUAGUUGCUAACAGGUAGAGCUGAGCACUCUAAUGGGACUGCCGGUGACAAGCCGGAGGAAGGUGGGGAUGACGUCAAAUCAUCAUGCCCUUUAUGACCUGGGCUACACACGUGCUACAAUGGAUGGUACAGAGAGCAGCGAGGCAGCGAUGUGGAGCGAAUCUCAAAAAGCCAUUCUCAGUUCGGAUUGGAGUCUGCAACUCGACUCCAUGAAGUCGGAAUCGCUAGUAAUCGCGAAUCAGCAUGUCGCGGUGAAUGCGUUCCCGGGCCUU
rnacentral:rRNA from 1 species